rnacentral:rRNA from 1 species
CGUGCGCAGGCGGUUAUGUAAGACAGUUGUGAAAUACCCCGGGCCGUCAACCUGGGAACCGCAUCUGUGACUGCAUAGCUAGAGUACGGUAGAGGGGGGAUGGAAUUCCGCGUGUAGCAGUGAAAUGCGUAGAUAUGCGGAGGAACACCGAUGGCGAAGGCAAUCCCCUGGACCUGUACUGACGCUCAUGCACGAAAGCGUGGGGAGCAAACAGGAUUAGAUACCCCAGU